AGUUUUCUGUACCAUUACAUUACACACUUGAAUCGUCAUAUUCAGAUAUACUUCCAGUUUUAUUUGCUAACUCCACUCAAAUAAGGAUCCAAAAUUUGUGGUAACUCCUGAAGGAGACUGCACUAUCUCUUUGAUUGCAACCAAAACUAAUGAGUACAGAUUCAGCAGAGUAAUAUUUCGGGGUUGUAAAGUGCAGAUACAGGGACUGAAGCAGACAUACCAGAGCAACGGAGGGAUGUUCAGUGUUAAGUUUAUUUUCAAUUGUAAGGACCCUAACCUUCUUUUUAAACCUCAACGGUCAAGAAACAUCUUAGAAUUCUAUCAGGCCAUCCUAAUUUCCCAUCACCCUAUCUCAGAGUGUCAACCACCUCAUGGCAGACAGAAAAUACAUACUACUUUCUAGACCAUGUGUCUCCGUUUUUUUAUCCAAAUGACAGGUAAUACCUAUUUUUGGUGUCAAACUGUGGCUGGUACAUAGAAGGGGAACUCUACUGUUUCUCUCAGGAUGCACAUGUGCGCGAUGAAUACGGAUCAUGAGUUGGGCAUAGAAUUGUGUAGCCUGCGCAUCCCUAAAUGUAGACGAUGUGUCAGUGUGGCCUUGAUGGUAGGCCGAUGCAGUUACGCAGCAGUACUGCAGUAGGUUCAGCACACAUGCAGCUGGAAACGACGAGACAUCAUCGCGGAAACUGAGCUUCAGGCCUCCGACUACUCGGUUGCCUUCCACGUUGACAGUCGACAAUGGAUAAUCAAUUGAGCUAACGUCUUUUCUCGAGGUAAGCUUGGACCACACUAUUGGAUAUGGGAGAACGUGCCAUGUAUUGGAGAUCUGAAUAUAUAAGUGUUAUUAGCUCUUUUUCCGACACGUUUAGAUCUGAGAAUUGUUUUGCCAUCUUAGUAUUAUACUACAGAUACACCGUGAUUAAACUGUUCAAAUUGUUUCCUUGUGUGCAUGAACUUCCUUAUAUUUAGUUAUGUUCAAUAAUCCACUUGAUUUAUGUUUAUUUAUGCGAAUAAACUUUUCAUUAACUUCAAGGCUUCAUUGUUGCUGCAAUACAUGUAAGAGUUGACCCAAUGAAGCCUCUCACUGAUCCGCUAAUACAUUACAGCAAAAAGUAUACUCAGAUUUAUCCUUUUUAAAUUUCUUAGAUAAUCAAUUGUUUCUUGAACUUAGUUUGGGCCACACUGUUAUCAGAGAGGAGAAUUUUCCAGGUAAGUUGUAAAUGUAUUGGAGAUCUGAAUAUAUGAAUGCUAUUAGUUUUUUCAUCAAGAACAUUGAAAUCACCAUUUGGAUUGGGUGAAAUCUAGCUUUUUACAUGGUACUAACUCCACUCUUGGUCUGAUCAUAUUUUUAGCUAUCCUUCUUCUGCCUGAAACAACCAGUACGCCAUUGUCACAUUUGUAUAUGUGUGUAUUUCAUCUGUUCAAGGAAAAAAUAAUGCUCUUAACCCGUACAGUGUUUCAUAUUUCCUGCAUCUAUAUUAUUCAUGUUUUGUAUCAGACUUUUUAAAGUGGUGCACAUCAAAUGACCGCACAAAAAAAAUUCCCAGUAACAAUUUUUACUCUGAAAGUGAAAUGCUCAAAAUGCCAAAUUGGCACCCCCAAUCUCUUCAAUUCCACCUUGAACAACUUAGUCUAUGUAACCAUUUGAGAGGACUUCACCUUUAUUUUAAUAUCUAUUGGUGCUUCAGCAAAUAGCUUAAUCUGGAACGAACAAUUUCACAUAUGAUUUUUUUGUAGUUACUAAAAUUUACUACUGAGGUAUAAUACUGUAAAGAUAAUUUAUUAGGAUAGAAAAUUCAGAGACUCUGCUCAUGUUUGUAAUCUUCACUUCUUCAGUGUGUACUAACUCUUAGAGAUUCCAGCGGGAUUAUACGGAACGAGUAUGAAUGAUAAACAUGCUGCUCAUGUCUGUUGAGUUCUUUGGUUGUAUCACAGAGAUGGCACAUAGACGUGGUGUUGUAGGUGAAGAAGAACGGCAGGCUACACAUUUGAGUACCAGCCCAUGCCCAGCUCCUGCUACUUCGGCUCCACCAUCACCUACUCGCUGUCACUGGUCAUGAACACAGGCAACUGGCUCCUCUGUCUGCCCCAACAACAACAGUUGUGCGGUGCUCAUGGGACUCGCCACCAACAUCAAGGUCAGGACCUCCUGGCCCGCUCGCUUUCCCGCUGCGUCCCUUGCUAGCCAACAAUAUUGCACUCUUCUUGCUAUCCAUCCUAAUCUUUUAUUGAUGAUCAUUUUGUUUCAUUGCAGUCCUCUAUCAUUUGCCUCUUAUUCUACUAUUUUGUCAGCAAGCUGAAUCCAUUCUUAAUUCCGUUAUUCCUAAUUGGUUUUAGUUUAAUGAUUAUAACUACAUUUACUGAAUGGAUUUUCAUAUGAUUUUCAUCUAAUUCUCAGGUUCAUCAAAUUUUCAUCCAAUUUCCUUAGUUUAAUCCUUUUAUAGGCUUAUUUUGGUGACUUUUUUUUUAUUUUAGAGUGUAAAUAAGCAUAUGGUGAACUUUAGUUGAUCCAAUAAAUUAUCUUAUUUACCGGAAUAAUGCAUAAACUAUUUCAGGCAUUCUCGCUUUCAGGACUACUUUGCUAUCCCUGUCCGAGAGAUGACAGCAAUCUGACAGAGUUCCAUUGUUAAACAUCGUCCAUCAAUUUUGAAUGGCAAGGAUCAAGGCGCUGAAGAAAUGAAACAACCAACACUACACUCUGUGCCCUAAAUGAACAACAGCUAGAUGAUUCCAUGUUUCAGGGAGCACGCUACAGACUAAAUGUUACACUUGCUGAGUUUUUCACUAAGAAAAACUGGUGGUAGCUAGCUUGCACCAAAUGCUG